rnacentral:rRNA from 1 species
UACAGGGGGUGCAAACGUUGCUCGGAAUUAUUGGGCGUAAAGCGCGCGUAGGCGGCCUGCUAAGUCGAACGUGAAAUCCCCGGGCUCAACCCGGGAACUGCGUCCGAUACUGACAGGCUUGAAUCCGGGAGAGGGAUGUGGAAUUCCAGGUGUAGCGGUGAAAUGCGUAGAUAUCUGGAGGAACACCGGUGGCGAAGGCGGCAUCCUGGACCGGUAUUGACGCUGAUGCGCGAAAGCCAGGGGAGCAAACGGG